CCAGCUGGAGGAGCAGAGGAGUGCUCCCUCUGCACCCUAGAGAGUUAAGGAGAUCACUUUUUAACCCCUCCUUCCCAACCCCACACCCUGCUGCUCCUCUUUUCCGUGCCUCAACACCAACAUAAGAGGACAAGUGUGGGCUCUAAGCACCAGUGAUCAAACACGAGCGGCUGCUGCGUACGCUAGGCUCAGGACUGUUGGCCUAAUAGGAUUGGAAGCCCCCAGGUGUGAAAAUCAGGGAAGGCUCUUUACACUGUAAACCCAGAUAUUGAUUCAACUCAAAGAAAGUGGUGCUGAAGCUCUCAGGUGUGCUGGGUGACAGGUGCGACUUAUUCCACUGAUUGCCAGGAGGAGUACUUAAGCAGGAGGCUGCCAGCACUUCAAUGCGAGUGUUUUGCCACAGUGGUACAAACUCUAGCCACGCUCCAAGUUAUGUGUCGUACUUCAACCUCGUUUAACUUUGUUUUUUGCUCCUCUGCAGAUUUUGAAAGCCUAAGCUUUGGAUCUAUGUCACUGAGUUUUCUGGACUAUGUUUCUGAAAGUUACUCUGGAUGAUCAAGCCUGUCUUCGCUCUGAGGAUUCCUAUCCUGUGAUCUAUCUUUGUUUGGAUUUGCAUCAAGCUGGUAGCUUCCUGUCCACUUCGUCUCCUGAGCCAAGCCACAAGCGUACCCUGUCCACCCUCCAACAUAAGCUACUGCACAUCAAACUUGUUUACUGUAACCUGAGCUCCAAAGAACAUCACCAAGUGAACUCUCUACGGAUAUACCUGCUUAAGACCUGGAUCCUGAAUCUCAUUCCCCCUGGCGACUUGACCAUCAUAACUCAUGAGAUAUUUUGCCCGUUCCGUUCCUGACUAUAUCUUCAAUAAAC